rnacentral:rRNA from 1 species
GACCUCAAAUCAGGUAGGACUACCCGCUGAACUUAAGCAUAUCAAUAAGCGGAGGAAAAGAAACUAAACAAGGAUUCCCCUAGUAACUGCGAGUGAAAGCGGGAAAAGCUCAAAUUUGAAA